GACGAACGCUGGCGGCGUGCUUAACACAUGCAAGUCGAACGGAAAGGCCCUGCUUUUGUGGGGUGCUCGAGUGGCGAACGGGUGAGUAACACGUGAGUAACCUGCCCUUGACUUUGGGAUAACUUCAGGAAACUGGGGCUACUACCGGAUAGGAGCUCCUGCUGCAUGGUGGGGGUUGGAUCGUUUCGGCGGUAGGGGAUGGACUCGCGGCUUAUCAGCUUGUUGGUGGGGUAGUGGCUUACCAAGGCUUUGACGGGUAGCCGGCCUGAGAGGGUGACCGGCCACAUGGGGACUGAGAGACGGACCAGACUCGUACGGGAGGCAGCAGUGGGGAAUAUUGCACAAUGGGCGGAAGCCUGAGGCAGAAACGCCGCGUGCGGGAUGACGGCCUUCGGGUUGUAAACCGCUUUCGCCUGUGACGAAGCGUGAGUGACGGUAAUGGGUAAAGAAGCACCGGCUAACUACGUG
rnacentral:rRNA from 1 species